AAUGAUGUCCAAAAAAUAGAAUG
rnacentral:piRNA from 1 species